rnacentral:rRNA from 1 species
CCUACGGGUGGCAGCAGUGAGGAAUAUUGGUCAAUGGGCGCUAGCCUGAACCAGCCAAGUAGCGUGAAGGAUGACUGCCCUAUGGGUUGUAAACUUCUUUUAUAUGGGAGUAACGUGCAGUAUGUAUACUGCUUUGCAUGUACCUUAUGAAUAAGGAUCGGCUAACUCCGUGCCAGCAGCCGCGGUAAUACGGAGGAUCCGAGCGUUUUCCGGAUUUAUUGGGUUUAAAGGGAGUGUAGGCGGGUUGUUAAGUCAGUUGUGAAAGUUUGCGGCUUAACCGUAAAAUUGCAGUUGAUACUGGCGUCCUUGAGUACAGUAGAGGUAGGCGGAAUUCGUGGUGUAGCGGUGAAAUGCUUAGAUAUCACGAAGAACUCCGAUUGCGAAGGCAGCCUGCUGGACUGUAACUGACGCUGAUGCGCGAAAGUGUGGGGAUCAAACAGGAUUAGAUACCCGGGUAGUC